GAGCGAACGCUGGCGGCAGGCUUAACACAUGCAAGUCGAGCGGGCGUAGCAAUACGUCAGCNGCAGACGGGUGAGUAACGCGUGGGAACGUACCUUUUGGUUCGGAACAACACAGGGAAACUUGUGCUAAUACCGGAUAAGCCCUUACGGGGAAAGAUUUAUCGCCGAAAGAUCGGCCCGCGUCUGAUUAGCUAGUUGGUGAGGUAACGGCUCACCAAGGCGACGAUCAGUAGCUGGUCUGAGAGGAUGAUCAGCCACAUUGGGACUGAGACACGGCCCAAACUCCUACGGGAGGCAGCAGUGGGGAAUAUUGGACAAUGGGCGCAAGCCUGAUCCAGCCAUGCCGCGUGAGUGAUGAAGGCCCUAGGGUUGUAAAGCUCUUUUGUGCGGGAAGAUAAUGACGGUACCGC
rnacentral:rRNA from 1 species